UACGGUAGGAAUAUGAUCAAUUUGUUUGAUUGUAAGCACUUCUUAAAAUCCUCAUCAUCCCCUCGAGUUAGUCAUGCAAUAAUAAAUACUCAUGGGGAUCAGUUAUGAGAUUGUGCCAUUUGAUCAACAGAUCCAUCUUAAAUAGGUAAUUAACAUGACAUCACCACAGCCUGGGAUUCAAACAAUCUAUUUAUAACUAAUAACAACUGCUUAUUCUAUAUUACCCUUCAAUAAUCAUGCAGUCUUCCCAUAAGAGCCAGCUUUGCCAGACUGAUAUCUGAAAAUGCUUGAGAAUGCAGAUUUCUGUGAUGAUUGCCAAAAACAAGCAAAUAAAAGAUAAAGCAUCCUAAAAAGCAGAUAACAAAAACCAAAAGCAGCAUCCAAUGUCACUGCUGCAUUUUAUUUUAUUUGUUGCAAUUUAAACAAAGGAGCAUCCUUGCAAGAUAUCUCAUAAAAUGGUUCGCUGAUAGAGAGGUAGAGCUCCCAAUGCCUCUCGUUCUCCCCUCUCCUGUUUCACCUGCAACAAAUAAAAGUGACCAUUAGUAGCAUAAACUUAAGCUGGAAAAAAUAGUAGACUCAGUGGUUUAAAAAGUCAUUCAUCAGAUACUCCAUUUAUAUCAGUCAAAUGCACCACAUGCCAAUUGCUAGAAUUAAGUACCAUAAUCCAAAGGAAAUUUGGUGAUGUCCAGACUGUUACAAUCAAAUUCUGAUGACAAUUUCAGAUAUAAUGCCAUGUUGAUCAAAGGUUGGGUCUUCAUGAUGUCACAAAAAAAAUAACAGUGAUUCCAGUUGUUGAAGAUGAAAAGACUAGUGUGAAGAAAGAGUGAAUAGACUAGAGAUGGGGGUGAAAGAGGUAGAAACCAUUUGGUUCGUAGUUGGAAGAGAAAGGCUUUUCUUUGCCAUGAAUCCAGCAUG
rnacentral:lncRNA from 1 species